AGAGAUGUGGUGCAGAAGUUGUAGUUGACAUUAGGGCUUCUUGCUACUGCUAUCUUGCAUGUCUCCUAGAUGGAGGCCUCGACAAGAGAGGAGCUUUGGUUGUAAAGAUACUAAGAGAAUAUUGAGAGAAUAACCCCACCACCUCGACUAGUGAGGAGUAAUUCAUUUAUAAAAAAAUGAUAUGCCAUAAAUAUGGUAUACACAAUAUUACAUCCCCUAAGUAUAGAAAAUAUAGAUAUUACAGGGUGUACAUUCCUAAUGAUACACCGUAAAUAUGGUAUAUAGAUAUUAUAGG
rnacentral:lncRNA from 1 species